UACAUUACAGCUAUUUGAAUUAUAGUCCCGGCACCAAACCCGGUACAACAACAGCGGGAGGAAGGGGGUGAAACCCCCAGUCAACUGUGGUACUUGGGGGGAGGGGAGGGUAUGCCCCGGGCUAAGUCAGCUAGCAAGCAUGUUGCCCGACAUGAGGCGACUUAGCCCUCCGGAGAGUUUCCAGUUGUGGUUCCCUAUUUGUCUG
rnacentral:lncRNA from 1 species